CUUCGCUUCUUUUGAAGCAACUGCAGCACUUAAUACAACAGUGUCACCAUAACGUACUAAAACAGCACCAUUGGCUUGUUUGGCAAGUUGACCGAUUUCAACUUGCAGAGGGCGUCCGCCCCAAGUGGUUUUGAAAACUUGUUUUUCUGACAUAACUUCUCCUUUGCCCUUUGACCAGUGCGA
rfam:Enterococcus devriesei strain DSM 22802 Scaffold3, whole genome shotgun sequence.